ACUGGGCUGGCUCAGUAGGUAAAGCAUGAGACUCUUGAUCUUGGGGUGUGGGUUCAAGCCCCAUGUUGGGUG
rnacentral:tRNA from 1 species